rnacentral:rRNA from 1 species
UACGUAGGGGGCAAGCGUUGUCCGGAAUCAUUGGGCGUAAAGCGCGUGUAGGCGGCCAGGUAAGUCCGUUCUGAAAGCCCGGGGCUCAACCCCGGGAGGCGGAUGGAUACUGCUUGGCUCGAGUCCGGAAGAGGCGAGUGGAAUUCCCGGUGUAGCGGUGAAAUGCGCAGAUAUCGGGAGGAACACCAAUGGCGAAGGAAGCUCGCUGGGACGGUACUGACGCUGAGACGCGAAAGCGUGGGGAGCAAACAGG